CGCAUCUGACUGGCCGCGCGCACCUGUCCCCGGCCACGCCCUGUCCAGCGCGGGGCCGGGCCGAGGCUCCGCCUUUCUCGCGGCCCGUGACCACGCCUCCUCCCCGCUCUGCCCUCCCGCGCCUCGCGCCUGCACUUUCCCCGAGGCCGGGUCCCACUGACAGAGCGCCCCCCAACGUCUGCCGCCCCGGCCUGCUUUCUAGAGGAACAUCGCGAAGGACGUGGACGCACCCAGGAAAGCUGAGAUACCCUCGCGAUGGGACCUUGGUCUAGUUAGGUCUCUUUAGGGUUUGCGAAACAUUUUCACGUUGUAUUGUUCCUCCAUUUACAGAAAUAUUUGACUUUGUAGAGCACCACAUAUUUGCUAGAUCCUGUGCCCUGAGCGAUAGCGGGGUCAGUCAAAUAGACACGAGAUCUCCCGCCCUGAUGGAGCUUGUGUUCCCCCAACAAAACCGGCUGGAAAAUGUUUGGACUAGGCAGCGAGACACUACGAUACCCCCAGCAUUUGAAAGGCGUAGAAGCUUUCCAAAGGUUCCUUCACCAUGAAGAACAAGGUUGGAGCGGUACCCAGAUGCCUGUUUCUAAGUCCCUAUCCUCAGUGGCGGUCAGCCUCGCCGAACCUAAGCGUUCCGAGAUACCCUGAAGGCGAGUACUCAUUCUGCAGCUUGGAGGGCAUCACCGAGCCACAGGCUGAGAAGGGCCGGUGGCCUCAACCUCCAGUCGUGGGACAGAAAAUUCUCCUUCAUCCAAGACAACCUGCUUGGCAAGGGCUCGGCCUCCCUAGGCUGAAAAUUAUAUCUGCUUUCCCUUUGUACCUCCCACUGGUGUGCCAAGAUCUACUCCUCCAGAAAGCUUAUCUUAUACUUAAUUUAACCAGCCUUGUGGAAAGUCUUUUUAGCUCCAGCUCUGACCCUAUGUUGCAGUUAACAUCCCCAAAGAAUAGAAUGAGAGUUAUGACCCUGUGGAAUGAAGGAGGGGAGAUGCACAUCACUUGGUGCCCGCCUGCCUGGUGUGCUACCUUAUCUUAUUCUUCACCAUUUUCCUGUGCUUGUGUAAGAACUGACCCUAUCUGAUAAAGCAAGAAGCAGCCAGGCACCCCCCCCCCCCAAAAAAAGGGACUUGCCUAGACAGUCAGGAUUUAACACUUCAAACUCCCAAGGUCUCAGCCGCAGUCACACAGCUGUCUAAGGACUGAAAUACGGAGCAGGGUCAAUAUACUUUCUCUUUGCCUGUGUCCUCUUAUCUGCAGAGAUGGAGGUCAAUUAAAAAGUAUUGAACACCCCUACCCACUACGUGCUGAAAUUAUAAUGGCAGGGUUUUUUUCCAAUGUACUGUGAGCUUUGUUGGCAGCAUUAAUGUAGGUGUUAUUUUCUCGAUGCAGAUUACUUGGCUCACCACCAUCGCAAAAUGGAGGGAAGAUAUAAUUAUAUGUACUUAAAACAUCCUGCCAAACAAUUAAAUGCCAUGACUUAACUUCUGAAGGAAUGAAUUCUAGGAAGAGGCUCUUACUAGCAUUCAGGCAAUGAGAUGUCUACAUGGAUGAAGCCUGGAACGUUACCUAACUUCUGAGUCUCAGCUUUCUCAUCUGAAAAGUGGAAAUAACUGUAAUAGCUGAAUAAUUCAUAUUUUUUGAGAAUUAAAUGAAGUUAUAAAUGUCUAACACCAAAAUAGUAUAUAAUAAAUAGUAAGUGUUACAUAUUUUAA